rnacentral:lncRNA from 1 species
CUGAAGGGCCUCAAGAGAUGAACUAUUCAAUUCCCCUUCUGCCCAUUAAAAACACAAACUGUCAUAUUCUGCUGGUCAUCUUAGAAGAGAAAAAAAUCUAUUAAACAGAAUUAUUUAGAAUAGUUUCAGGUUUCCUGUUCACAGACUUGGGAGAGUGCUAUCUCUUACACAUCAUAUAGGUGACAGUACUGAACUAAACUGGCGUGGAUGGGUUGCCCUCUCUUCCAAACACAUAGACAUGUUUGAUAAAAUAUAAGAUAGCUGAGUUCCAAACCAGACAAAAAAAUCAAACGCAUUUCUAAGUGUGUGUUCAGAGCUAAGAGAAUAAAGACUUGCUGCAGGAGGCUUUGGACCUGCAAGCAGGAAUUAGGAGAAAUGGCAUUAAUUCCUAAGUAGGUACAGGAAAUGAGAGCUCAGGUUUCUGUGAAGCAGAGUUGGAACACGUGAAUGGUAGAAGCUGACAACUUAAAGUAAAAUCACAUUUAAUAUGGUUUUAACUCUGAUGUUUCUAUUGCCAUGUUUUAAAUUUCUAACAAUAUAUCUUUCUUAGCAGGUCUUAGUGAAACUAAAUAUGCAUGUAGAUAUUUAAAAAUAUAGCUGCACCUGGCUGGGCCCCGCCGGCCCCGGGCUGUGCGGCUCCACUCUUUGCCUUCAGGUACUCGUGGAUGGCCUCCUCAAUGUCCCUGUCCACGGAAUCAUCACUGUCUGAAUCUUUUUGUUUUGCUAUGAGAACAUGAGCUUUAGAUGACACUUUUAUACAUAUCGAAAUUAGUUUAUUUUGUAUAAGA